rnacentral:lncRNA from 1 species
UUCAGAAUGAAAAUCAAACAAUCCAUAAAUUUUGGUUUAUAUGUAUAUAAUUAACGAUCCAUAAUUUUUUUGGUCUAUGUCCGACUACUGUACAAGACAAUGGUUGGUCCGCACCUGUUCACUCUCAGGCCUUGUUUAGUUACCAAAAAUUUUUGCAAAAUUUUUCAGAUUCCCCGUCACAUCGAAUCUUUAGACACAUGCAUGAAGUGUUAAAUAUAGACAAAAAUAAAAACUAAUUAUACAGUUUGGUCGAAAUUGACGAGACGAAUUUUUUGAGCCUAGUUAGUCCAUGAUUGGAUAAUAUUUGUUAAAUACAAACAAAAAGCUACAGUGUCAUUUUGUAAAAUAUUUUAGAACUAAACAAGGCCUCACAUCGUUACUGUAGCAAGUACUACCGUUCUGCCUGCGCUGUUCGUGACGCUGACCGAUACUGUUCCGACAAUGUUUACUGUAGACAACACUAUUCGUCCGGUUUUUUUU